UAUAAGGGAUUUUGAGUUUUUGCUUGCAACGUUUGACUACUCGUCUUAUUCAAAAAAUUUUUGAAAUUAUUAUUUAUUUUAUUUGUGACUUUAAGCACAACUUUUCAUUUUUUAUAUUUGCAAAAAAAAUUUGAAUAAGACGAGUGGUCAAACGUUGCAAGCAAAAACUAAAAAUCCCUUAUA
rfam:Oryza glaberrima chromosome 7 Oglab07_0041_1, whole genome shotgun sequence.